GCCAGGGUGGUGAAAUUGGUAUACACAGCGGGCUUAAAACCCGCCGCCGCUAAUCACGGCAUGCCGGUUCGAUUCCGGUCCCUGGCACCA
rnacentral:tRNA from 2 species